rnacentral:rRNA from 1 species
GUAAUGUCUGGGAAACUGCCUGAUGAGGGGGAUAACUACUGGAAACGGUAGCAAUACCGCAUAACGUCGCAAGACCAAAUGGGGGACCUUCGGGCCUCAUGCCAUCAGAUGUGCCCAGAUGGGAUUAGCUAGUAGGUGGGGUAACGGCUCACCUAGGCGACGAUCCCUAGCUGGUCUGAGAGGAUGGCCAGCCACACUGGAACUGAGACACGGUCCAG